CUUCAAUAAAUUUUGUUGUUUCUGUCAGUAUUCGUUCAGCCCUUAUACCACAUGCAGACUUUACGGGAGGCAGCGUACUUCUUUCAAAGUUUUCUACCUCAAAAAAAUCAGAUACUGUCUUUUGCAGUUGACUUAGUGCGCUGUCGUCAAUAUGUACAUGACAAAUAGUUGUGUUGUGUGUUCGGUUUUCAUUAGAGCCGAAUAUCGUCCACCCCAGUUUCGUUUCAUGUGCCGUAAACCCUUCCUCAAAGUUAACAACACGCAAUGGCCUAGCUAAAUUUGUGUGAGACACCCCUAUCAAGACAUGUGGCAUAGCGUUCGUAUAGCUUACAAUUGGAAUAUGGCUUAAUUCGUCGUAUUUUUGUUUAAAGUUUUCAGCGCACAAAGUUUGUGGGGGCAAAAACAGCUUUUUAAUCGUGCGAACGUCUUUCAUAUGAAAUCGCACUGAAUCGUAAACACUCGAUACUUCAACAUCCACCCGUUUUGAAACUUCAGUAGUUGUCUGAUCGUCAAACCACUUCAAGCGCAAGAAGUCAGCGAUUCCUUUCAAACCAAUUUCAUCAGCUAUACGCUCCUCCAAAAGAGUGACUUUGGCUCCAUCGUCAAUAAAUGCCAUUACACGUACGCUACCCUUGGGUCCAUACAGUUUUACAGGCAAAAAUUUAAUCGCAACAGCUGAUUCUGUUGGAGGUGAGAUGCCAGCUUGAACUGUUUCUGAAUUAAUUUUAUGAAGCAAUUUAUUAUGAUACUUGCGGCAAGAUGCCACACCACAUUCACGACGAUGAGGGCAAUUGUACAUGCUGUGAUUUGCGGAAAGGCAACAAAAACACAAGCGAUUGUUUUUGACGACCUCCCAGCGCUCAUCAUAUCCUGCCUCUUUAAAAUUAGAACAUUGGUACAAUUUGUGAUCGGAUUUACAAAGCUGGCAUUCAUACUUUUCUUUACCUAUGGUUAACACUUGUUUCGCAAAUCUAUUACUUUUUUGCACCAGCUGAUCUGUGUUUACAUUUGAUUUUGACGUAUUAAUUUCAGUAGCCAUGGCGAUGUACACAGACGUUUGUUGCAACCAGAUACUAAAUUCCUGGAUAGUUGGAUACAUUUUAUUAAUUGAAAAUAUAUGGCGAGCCCAAUCUUCGCGUUUGUUAAGUGGUAAUUUACCUACAAGCUCCUCUAAUAGCGUUGGAUUUGAGAGGUGAGGCAAAGCACCGGCGUUUUCCAGAAAAGCAACAAGGUUGGAUACCAUUGUGGCGAGAUUCACGAUAUCGCUGUAAUUUUUGCCAGUGAUAGAAGGAAAGGCUCGUGCCUUAGCAAGCUGACUCCGGACUAAUAUCUCAGGGCGACCGAAGUGAAAUUGAAGCGUGGAAAUAAUUGCAUUUACACUUGAAGGGUGAAUUAAUAAAGACUCAACCGUA
rnacentral:lncRNA from 1 species